CACACUAUCAUUAACUGAAUCCAUAGGUUAAUGAGGCGAACCGGGGGAACUGAAACAUCUAAGUACCCCGAGGAAAAGAAAUCAACCGAGAUUCCCCCAGUAGCGGCGAGCGAACGGGGAGCAGCCCAGAGCCUGAAUCAGUGUGUGUGUUAGUGGAAGCGUCUGGAAAGGCGCGCGAUACAGGGUGACAGCCCCGUACACAAAAAUGCACAUGCUGUGAGCUCGAUGAGUAGGGCGGGACACGUGGUAUCCUGUCUGAAUAUGGGGGGACCAUCCUCCAAGGCUAAAUACUCCUGACUGACCGAUAGUGAACCAGUACCGUGAGGGAAAGGCGAAAAGAACCCCGGCGAGGGGAGUGAAAAAGAACCUGAAACCGUGUACGUACAAGCAGUGGGAGCACGCUUAGGCGUGUGACUGCGUACCUUUUGUAUAAUGGGUCAGCGACUUAUAUUCUGUAGCAAGGUUAACCGAAUAGGGGAGCCGAAGGGAAACCGAGUCUUAACUGGGCGUUAAGUUGCAGGGUAUAGACCCGAAACCCGGUGAUCUAGCCAUGGGCAGGUUGAAGGUUGGGUAACACUAACUGGAGGACCGAACCGACUAAUGUUGAAAAAUUAGCGGAUGACUUGUGGCUGGGGGUGAAAGGCCAAUCAAACCGGGAGAUAGCUGGUUCUCCCCGAAAGCUAUUUAGGUAGCGCCUCGUGAAUUCAUCUCCGGGGGUAGAGCACUGUUUCGGCAAGGGGGUCAUCCCGACUUACCAACCCGAUGCAAACUGCGAAUACCGGAGAAUGUUAUCACGGGAGACACACGGCGGGUGCUAACGUCCGUCGUGAAGAGGGAAACAACCCAGACCGCCAGCUAAGGUCCCAAAGUCAUGGUUAAGUGGGAAACGAUGUGGGAAGGCCCAGACAGCCAGGAUGUUGGCUUAGAAGCAGCCAUCAUUUAAAGAAAGCGUAAUAGCUCACUGGUCGAGUCGGCCUGCGCGGAAGAUGUAACGGGGCUAAACCAUGCACCGAAGCUGCGGCAGCGACGCUGAUGCGUUGUUGGGUAGGGGAGCGUUCUGUAAGCCUGCGAAGGUGUGCUGUGAGGCAUGCUGGAGGUAUCAGAAGUGCGAAUGCUGACAUAAGUAACGAUAAAGCGGGUGAAAAGCCCGCUCGCCGGAAGACCAAGGGUUCCUGUCCAACGUUAAUCGGGGCAGGGUGAGUCGACCCCUAAGGCGAGGCCGAAAGGCGUAGUCGAUGGGAAACAGGU
rnacentral:rRNA from 1 species